AGCGAACGCUGGCGGCAGGCCUAACACAUGCAAGUCGAACGAACUCUUCGGAGUUAGUGGCGGACGGGUGAGUAACACGUGGGAACGUGCCUUUUGGUUCGGAAUAACUCAGGGAAACUUGUGCUAAUACCGAAUGUGCCCUUCGGGGGAAAGAUUUAUCGUCAUUAGAGCGGCCCGCGUCUGAUUAGCUAGUUGGUGAGGUAACGGCUCACCAAGGCGACGAUCAGUAGCUGGUCUGAGAGGAUGACCAGCCACACUGGGACUGAGACACGGCCCAGGCUCCUACGGGAGGCAGCAGUGGGGAAUCUUGCGCAAUGGGCGAAAGCCUGACGCAGCCAUGCCGCGUGAAUGAUGAAGGUCUUAGGAUUGUAAAAUUCUUUCACCGGGGACGAUAAUGACGGUACCCGGAGAAGAAGCCCCGGCUAACUUCGUG
rnacentral:rRNA from 1 species